rnacentral:misc_RNA from 1 species
UCGUCGGGCUUCGCCGCCCUGUCGAGAUAGCACCCUUUGUCCUUUUUGGCGCACUUGUCUUGUUUCCUCGGGCUGGGACCCCCAGCCCACGAGGACCAACAACCAAACCUUUGCAGUUUCUGUCACGGUCUGAUCUAAAAAAAAUCGUAA